CAACAAGUCUUCUUUUCUUUUCUUAAAUCAAGACAGAAGACGACGGAGAUGAAGGUCUACUUCCGUUCGUCCGGCCGCAAUCCUUUUGAUAGUCCCAGAUUGCUUUCAAUCCCUCACAAGAUGCACCUCCGUGUUGGCAAGUGUUGACUCCUCCAAUUGGGUGCAGGGAGACGGGAACACUAGGAUACGGCCUGGAUCGAAUAUUCCUUGGGUAAUCGCUUUCCAAAUUAUCUAAUUAUGUGUGUUCGCUGUGGAAUCUCUCUCAUUACUAGAAGUGUUAGGGAUAUAAUGCCCUGAAUGCAUAAAACUUUUUUUUGUCAUGGUGUAUAUAGCCCUGGUCUCUGGAUGUGUGUAAUCUGUAUUUAUUCAUCCAAAUAUUGUGAUCCCACGGUCGGCUUUCCGGGAAGCCCCUAUUCGGACUUGGUC